GCAGGGACAAACCGGGAGCAUCUGAGAGGAGAUGAAGUGAAGCAGAACGCAUGAGACCUGGGACCCCAGGACAGGAGACAGAGGGCAGGGUCAGCACACAGCGCACCUGAAUCCCCAGUUUGGGAUGCCAAUGGCUUGCAGCACAUACAUCACGUUCUGGGCAAAGAAGACGAAGAAGAAGACAAAGAAGUUGAAGGAACUGUCGCUCCUGGGAGGAAGAGAUGGGUGAGGGCCUGCCCCGAGGUUUCCCUGGAGACUCACCCAUCCAGAGGUAGUACAUGGUCGUGACUGUCUUCUGGAAGUCAGCAGGGAUC